GAAUCCAAGAAAUAGAGUCCCAGCCUGCCCCAACUCUCCCUAUAGCUCACACCCUUCCAGCCCUGGUAAAAAAUAGUCGUAAACCUUCUCUGCAUCAUUUCCUGUAACACGGUGCCCAGAACUGAAAACAAGACUGAAUGCGGUCUCAUCAAGGUCAUGUUGCAGUUGUAUAAGACGUUGAUGAGACCACACUUGUAGUAUUGUGUUCUCCUUCUCUCCCCCUGCCCUCAUCCUUCAUGUCAUAUGCUGACCAGAACUGAACGUGAUAUUGGAGAUGAGGUUGGUGUGGAGCGAUGUGUUUGUGCUGAUAGUCAUGCUUUUAUGAAUAGUUCCCAGCUGGUAAAGAUGUUUUAAUCUGUGAAGCGAUAUAACUGUGACGAGUCAUUGCUGAAUAAAGAGAUUGUGUUGUAA